UACAGAGGUCUCAAGCGUUGUUCGGAUUCAUUGGGCGUAAAGGGUGCGUAGGCGGCGCGGUAAGUCGGGUGUGAAAUCUCGGGGCUUAACCCCGAAACUGCAUUCGAUACUGCCGUGCUUGAGGACUGGAGAGGAGACUGGAAUUUACGGUGUAGCGGUGAAAUGCGUAGAUAUCGUAAGGAAGACCAGUGGCGAAGGCGGGUCUCUGGACAGUUCCUGACACUGAGGCACGAAGGCCAGGGGAGCAAAACGGG
rnacentral:rRNA from 1 species